rnacentral:rRNA from 1 species
AUACGUAGGGGGCGAGCGUUGUCCGGAAUGACUGGGCGUAAAGGGCGCGUAGGUGGCCUUUCAAGUCUGGAGUGAAAGUCCCGUUUUUAAGGUGGGAAUGGCUUUGGAAACUGAGAGGCUUGAGUGUGGGAGAGGAUAGCGGAAUUCCCGGUGUAGCGGUGAAAUGCGUAGAGAUCGGGAGGAACACCAGUGGCGAAGGCGGCUAUCUGGACCAAGACUGACACUGAAGCGCGAAAGCGUGGGUAGCAAACAGGAUUAGAUACCCUGGUAGUCCACGCGGUAAACGAUGGAUGCUAGGUGUAGGAGGUAUCGACCCCUUCUGUGCCGGAGUCAACACAAUAAGCAUCCCGCCUGGGGAGUACGGCCGCAAGGUUGAA